GAAUUGACGGGGGCCCGCACAAGCGGUGGAGCAUGUGGUUUAAUUCGAUGCAACGCGAAGAACCUUACCUGGUCUUGACAUCCACGGAAGUUUUCAGAGAUGAGAAUGUGCCUUCGGGAACCGUGAGACAGGUGCUGCAUGGCUGUCGUCAGCUCGUGUUGUGAAAUGUUGGGUUAAGUCCCGCAACGAGCGCAACCCUUAUCCUUUGUUGCCAGCGGUCCGGCCGGGAACUCAAAGGAGACUGCCAGUGAUAAACUGGAGGAAGGUGGGGAUGACGUCAAGUCAUCAUGGCCCUUACGACCAGGGCUACACACGUGCUACAAUGGCGCAUACAAAGAGAAGCGACCUCGCGAGAGCAAGCGGACCUCAUAAAGUGCGUCGUAGUCCGGAUUGGAGUCUGCAACUCGACUCCAUGAAGUCGGAAUCGCUAGUAAUCGUGGAUCAGAACGCCACGGUGAAUACGUUCCCGGGCCUUGUACACACCGCCCGUCACACCAUGGGAGUGGGUUGCAAAAGAAGUAGGUAGCUUAACCUUCGGGAGGGCGCUUACCACUUUGUGA
rnacentral:rRNA from 1 species